rnacentral:rRNA from 1 species
GCCAGAGAACUACGAGCCUAGCUUAAAACUCAAAGGACUUGACGGUAUUCCAUAUCCGACUAGAGGAGCCUGUCCUAUAACCGAUGAUCCCCGUUAAACCUCACCCCUUUUAGCUUAUCAGCCUGUAUACUUCCGUCGUCAACCUAUCACAUGAGUGCAACUCAAUAGAUAACCCCGUUUAAUUCACACAAACGUCAGGUCAAAGUGCAGCAAAUAAGGGGGGAAGAGAUGGGCUACAUUCUCUAACAUAGAGUACACGAAAGGCUAUAUGAAACCUUAGCCACGAAGGCGGAUUUAGAAGUAAAAGAAGAGCAGAGUGCCCCUUUUAACCCGGCCCUGGAAUGCGU